rnacentral:rRNA from 1 species
UACGUAGGCAGCAAGCGUUGUUCGGAGUUACUGGGCGUAAAGGGUGUGUAGGCGGUUCUCUAAGUCUGGUGUGAAAUCUCCCGGCUCAACUGGGAGGGUGCGCCGGAAACUGGAGAGCUAGAGUACUGGAUGGGAGAGUGGAAUUCCUGGUGUAGCGGUGAAAUGCGUAGAUAUCAGGAGGAACACCUGUGGUGUAGACGGCUCUCUGGACAGUAACUGACGCUGAGACACGAAAAGCGUGGGUAGCAAACAGG